UACGUAGGGUGCGAGCGUUUAAUCGGAAUUACUGGGCGUAAAGCGUGCGCAGGCGGUUUUGUAAGCCAGAUGUGAAAGCCCCGGGCUUAACCUGGGAAUGGCAUUUGGGACUGCAAGGCUUGAGUGCGGCAGAGGAGACUGGAAUUCCUGGUGUAGCAGUGAAAUGCGUAGAUAUCAGGAGGAAUACCGAUGGCGAAGGCAGGUCUCUGGGCUGACACUGACGCUCAUGCACGAAAGCGUGGGGAGCAACAGG
rnacentral:rRNA from 1 species